AAUUAACGCUGGCGGCGUGCCUAACACAUGCAAGUCGCACGAGAAAGGGACUUCGGUCCUGAGUACAGUGGCGCACGGGUGAGUAACACGUGAAUCAUCUACCUUCGAGUGGGGAAUAACUGAGAGAAAUCUUAGCUAAUACCGCAUAAUACCUACGGGUCAAAGCAGCAAUGCGCUUGAAGAGGAGUUCGCGGCAGAUUAGUUAGUUGGCAGGGUAAUGGCCACCAAGACGAUGAUCUGUAUCCGGCCUGAGAGGGCGCACGGACACACUGGAACUGAAACACGGUCCAGACUCCUACGGGAGGCAGCAGUGGGGAAUUUUGCGCAAUGGGGGAAACCCUGACGCAGCAACGCCGCGUGGAGGAUGAAAUCCCUUGGGAUGUAAACUCCUUUCGAUCGGGAAGAUAAUGACGGUACCGAGAGAAGAA
rnacentral:rRNA from 1 species